rnacentral:lncRNA from 1 species
UCAGCACAUAAAAAGAGUGAAAAACAAUAGAUAUGCGUGGCCAAACUAUUGUCAAAAAUUGACAUGCAAUAGUAGCACAAAGUCAGUAGAUAUCAAACAUUUGAAGCAUGACAGUCAGGUAGGUCAAGUCUCAUUGAAUUAGUAGUAAAGAAAAACAGAGUAUCAGAAGCAUGCAAAGGGUCUUACAAUGAUAGAUGAGAAAACCCUUCUGAAAAGUUAGGGUUUCCAGGCAUAGUCGAGUUUCAAAGAUAGAAAGAACCCAGAAUCAGAGGAAUCAUAUAAAGAAAAGAGAUGCUGAAACAAAAGAACUUCGAAUCAAGUCAGGUAUUCAAAUGAGCAGUUUCAAACCUAAAGACAUAGGUUUUUCUUUAACAGUAUUCCAUCUUAAAGGAUGAUAAACAAAUGAAUCAAAAAAUACUAGAAAAAUUUUCAGAAACUCAAAUGCACCCACAGAAAUUAGGGCUUUCAAUAUCAAUCGAGUUUAAAGAUGAUAAACAAGUAAAUCAAGAAAAUAUUUAGCAAACAUUUUCAGAAACUCGAAUGAACCCAAAAGAAAUUAGGGUUUUCAACACCAAUCGAGUUUGAAGAUGAUAAAUAGAUAAAUCAAACAGAUACCAGCAAAUAGACUUAGAACCCCCAAAGGAAAUUAGGGUUUUUAACAUGUUAAAGUCACAAAAUAUUUUGAAAAAAAGAACUUGAAGGAAAACCCUAAUCAAAAAAGGAUGAAGAGUCUUUUUCAGAAGCUUCGAGAAAACCCAUAGUAAGCAUGGAUCUAAGGUAAAGCUGAAAGAACUCGAAAAGGUCUUAGAGAUUAGGGUUUCAGAAGAACCCAAAGCAACGAGAAAUGCCUUGAUAGCUACCGAUCUAAAUAGAAAAGUCACAAGUCUGACUCAAAUGGCCAUGGCUGGCCAGAGAAAGGUUAGAGAUGACCUUAGAAAGGCCGUCGAGCAAAGACUACACUAAUCCCCUUCAGAAUCUAGUCAUGAGACCACAGAAGCAAACACGUAGAAGCCAUGAAAGGCUGAUACAUGUCUCAGACGGCCAUGGAAUGCCAUGGAUUAAGGUAGAUUAGGGUGGCAGUUGCUAGGGUUUAGGGUUGUUGUAGAGAGAAUUUGAGAGAUGACAGGGAUUCAAAGGC